CUCCCUGUGAACUGGGAAAGGGCCAUC
rnacentral:piRNA from 1 species